rnacentral:rRNA from 1 species
CACGUAGGCACCAAGCGUUGUCCGGAUUUAUUGGGCGUAAAGAGCUCGUAGGCGGUUCAGUAAGUCGGGUGUGAAAACUCUGGGCUUAACCCAGAGACGCCACCCGAUACUGUUGAACUUGAGUUCGGUAGGGGAGUGGGGAAUUCCUGGUGUAGCGGUGAAAUGCGCAGAUAUCAGGAGGAACACCGGUGGCGAAGGCGCCACUCUGGGCCGAAACUGACGCUGAGGAGCGAAAGCGUGGGUAGCAAACAGG